AACAGCGAGGUUUUGGAAUUACGGAAAGCGAACAUUUUCAUUUUUUAAAACAAACUACACAACUAAUAUAAUGUAUAAAAACUUUCUGUCGCAUUUCCUUAGCAACGGAUUUUCGUAGCGUUUUUAUACACUGUUGUGACGCAAAUCCAGUCCAAAAAACAAUGUACAAUCGUAAAUUAACGAUUCGUUAGAAGCGGGGUACGGUGCAUCAUUUAUCAAUUUUAGUUAGGUUUUUACCAAAAAAACACUU